AUAGUACUCCCUUUGUCCCAAAAAUUUUGUCUUAGAUUUGUCUAGCUAUGAAUGUAUCUAGUCAAGUUUUAGUAUUUAGAUACAUUUAUUUUUAAACAAAACUAAGACAAGAAUUUUGGGACGGAGGGAGUAUUUU
rnacentral:pre_miRNA from 1 species